CCCAGCUAGGCUUUUCAGACUCCCAUGCUAACAUUUUCUCUCUGCUCUACCAAGUAAAGUCUUAAGAACAGAAUUCUGAGACUCCCUGGGCAGUGGGUUGUGGGUUUGGGGGUUGGGGUCUGCUAGUUAUGGAAACAAAGGCACUCACAGAAGCCUGAAAGUCUCUCUGCCCUUGUUAAUUCUUAAUUAAGUGCAUCGCCUCCUCCUCAUCCCAAAUCAGCCUCCUAGAGACAAUUAUAUGAUUUUAUUUUGUUUUCUUUGUCUGUUUGUCUGACCUGCUUAUCUCUCCUGCUUUAAAGUCAGCUUCUAAAGUGCACAUUAAAGGUGAUUAGAAGACUCGGGCUGUCCUCGGUCAUUAGUGAGUGCUUUGGAGGGAGUGCUGCUUCCACCGCGCAGUCCCGGUCCCUUCCAUCAUGCAUCACUGACUGCCAGCAGGCCUGCCCGUCUCUCUGGCUUCCCUCACCAGUGUCUGCCCCGGAUCGAGCUGCAGAUCGGAGGGGCUGGAGACGAGUUUAAUUUAAAGACGAGCCCCCCUUGUGCUGCUAAAGGAAAUGGCGUGUCAGCUACGUCAAAAAUAGAUACUGUUGCGCAGAUAUAUGGACAGGGAGGUGGACGCCGCCCCUGCCAUUCAUUACCUGGAUUGCCUUUAAAUGUCAAAACAAAUCCUUCUCCGGUCCUUCUCCAAAACUUAAAUCAUCAAGAGAGACAGGGUUGUCCAGAUUGGAGCCUGCCCUUGCUGUCCGGAGAUCGACUUCACAAUUCCAGGCAGUUUGAGGAAAAGGGGUGUCCCCAGGAGAUGACAGCGGACAUGCUGGGGAGAGGACAGAGCAGAGGGACCUUGGGAAGGACCAGCUCCCCUGGGAAGACUUUGCUGCCUCAAUUCCCAGGUGAGUUAGUUUUCUGUGCUCACUUCUGACAUAGACUCUAUCACGCUUCAAAAUAACACAGGAUGGGGAUGGUCAAAAAUGGGGUCCAUUCACGCUGCACACAAUCUGUACGCAACAAAAGCUUAUUUAAAAAGUGAAUUCAUGAGCAAAUGAAUGAGCAAAUGAAUAGAAGGUUCUCCCUCAGCAUCUGAGCUUCUUCCACUUACCAUUUAACUUGGUGUUUUGCCCAUUCAUCCAACAAAAUGUAGGGAACCUCUGACUGUUCAUCAAGCUCUAGAUUACAUUCGUAUCAGUUACUCACACGAUAAACAUUUCCCGAGUGCCUACUGAGCAUCAGGUUCUGUGUUUGAUUCCAGUGCUAAAAUGUGAUUAGUAGUUCCCAGUUUCAUGAUGUGCAGUGGAGACUGGAGAAAAACAUCAUCAGGCAAUUUCAAUUUCAAUUUUUUCAUGAAUGGGGAAAUUGCACUAUGCAGGAGGACAGAAAAGGGAGUCCUGAAUCAGAUGGGGGAGGUGUGUCAUGAAAGUCUAUUUAAAAAAGAAAAGAAGGGGGCUUCUUAUAGACUUGUUUUUAGAAGAGACUUCUAUUAGCUGUCUGGCUCAGUUGUCAACACACAGAACUCCUUGGCCACCAAAGAGAUCACAUAGUAUACCUAAUAAUAAUGCCUCCCAUUUAAAAAAAUUGCUGCCAUUAAAAAAAAAAAAAACUGAGUUGGCAAGGAUCUGAAUGAAUGAGACUUCCAGGCCACUGUUUAGAAAACGGCAGGAUAAAAUGGUGCAGCUGUGUUGGAGAGCAAACGAACAAUAGACUUCUAUAAGAUGCACAUACAUUUCAACCAAGCAGUUUAACACCUGCUGUGGCUCCCAGAG
rnacentral:lncRNA from 13 species